rnacentral:lncRNA from 1 species
UUUAAAUCUUUAGCCAUUUUGACACUUCUGGUCCUUGCAAUCAAAACUUUUGUAUUUUUUCAUAAAAACAUGAAAAUAAACGGUCUGUGGCAAAGCCCAGACUUUUCAUCCUUGCACUUUCUACGUCUGUCAUAUUUAUCGAUUCAGAAACAACAUUGAAAGCUUCUGGCCCCUGGAUAGCGGGGGUAACCUUUUAGUUAUAUAUUAGACUAAACUGCAAAUUUGGUCCUUGUGGUUAUCAAAAAAAUGUGGAUGAGGUCCAAAAAGUUUUUAACUUGCAUGGAUAAUCCAAAAUAGAUUUUUUUUUUGUGGUUUUGGUCCCUGUUUAACUUGAAAUGACUGUUAUGCCCUUUUAAUUUCAUUUUAUAUUAUUUCUUCAUUUUAUUAAUAUUUAUAUAAUUAAGAAAACAAGAAACAGGCUACCCACCCACUUAAGUCAUCAUCUACUGGUCUUUCUCUCUCUCUCUCUCUCUCUCUCUCUCUCUCUCUCUCUGGACACAAUCCUCCGAUCACCACUGUUGAAAUAAGCUUGAUUUCUUCUGGUCCCAUGCGGUUGCUCUGUCGAAAGUUGCCUAGACGUUGUCUUCUCCGACGACCAUACCCGUUGACGACAUUCAACCACAAAAAAGUUCUGACGAUUACACAUCUACACAUUCUAUUGUUUAAAACCACCAAAAUAUCCCCUAAUGCAUUGCAUCUCUCAAUGAACAUGAACACUACGAACCUAAUCGUGUUUAGACAUAACUUCACCUUCACCUUCUUUUGUCCUGUUUAUUUCAUUCACCAUGUAUACAUAAUUACUAAGCACACACAUAAUUUACGAAACACACACAUUACUAUUUGUCUUCUAUUUCCAACUGAAAACCUCAAUACCCCCAGACUUUUCACAUCUUCCUCCCAAUCUAGUAAAAAAACUCAAAUUUCUCAUCAAAUUCAGUUUUAGAUCAUUUUGUUUUUGCAGAAAGCCAUGUAUAUGGGAAUCAAAUUUUGUUCCUUUGUAGGAUAAUUAGGGUUAAAGCAAUCACUACAUACCUCUUUGUGGGCUCAAUCUCAGAAAUUACAUAGCUUUUAGAAAUCCCACCGAACCUAUGACAUAGAGACGAUUGUGUGUGUGUGUGUGUUCAUCAUUCAAAAUUUGAAAUAGGUGUAUGUGUGUCUAUGCUCGUCUGUUGAACUCAUCACCCCUUCUUUGUGUUUUACAAUGAGCCACACAAACUUCACGAGGAAAACCUAACCAUCGAAUAUCAGCCUUGAAAAAGAAGCUCCAGUGGGCGAGCGGUCUUUCUAUGGAAGCUCUUUAUUAGCUAAUAUUUAAAUCAUUUUGUUCUUGUGUACAUGAGGUUUCAACCUUUGGGUUUGUAAACCCAGUUGAAGAAGAAAAGGGGUUUCUAUGGCUUGAUUCAGGUUUUUGUUCAUUGAUUUGGGAUGUUUGGAGAAGACGAUGUCUUGAAGGAGCUGUGUGUGUGACUGUGUGUAAAAGAGAGAAAGAGAUAGAGAGAGGGGUGCGG